CGCUGCCUUCGACAUAAGAGACCACACUGCCUCUACUCCUCCUCUCACCUCCAAUUGUAUCCACAAAUCGACGCUACCAUCCAUAUCUGCAAAGAUUCUUAGUGUGAUUCCCCUCUCAGGAAGGCACAGGACGAUCCAUCUUCUCAAGUUACAGAACAACGUCAUACAUUCGCACUCCCGUGAAGGUGUACCACUGCAAGAGGUAAGGCAAAGACAGCUUUAAAAUAGGACUUCAGGAGACCUAUUUUACCUGCGAUUGUUCAAAAUCUAUGCAUUGUGCGACUGGAUUUUCUUGGGAAGCAUUUCAGCCGUUGGUGCCCUAGUUUGAGGAUUCCAUUCCGCUGGUCUCUUGUACCUUCGAUUGUUCAAGGUAACUCAGUUGUGCGACUGGAAUUAGUGGAAAGCCUUUUAAGAUCGUUGGAUACCCUAUACAUUUCUGAAGGUAUGUGAAAGUAACUUGGUUCUUAUUGAGGAAAAGAGCCACCACUAGUUAUACGAUUUUUGGCCAUUCUUUGAUUUAAAGAUUCAUGUAUGUUUCACCACUUAAAAUGCAUUGUUCCUGCCUUCUGUUGUAAUCUACUAAAGCCAAAUAUCUCAAUAAGGAAUUUGUUUCUGCCUUAGUUCCAUUGACAUGGCCGAGCCCUAAAUGAGGAAACUGGGCUUGAGCUCAACUGAAAAUGCAGUAAAAAUUAGAGAGUAUAUGGAUAAUAUUCAGUUGCUAUGUAUGAAGAAAUUUGAACAGAUUUCUUUCUCAGUUCACUUUCAUUAUGAAUGCAAUACCAGUAUUGUGAGAAGAAAGUGGAACAUUAAUGGAGGAAGGUAAACGUGGUGAUAUUACUACUGGCACUGCAAAUUCCUCCACCUUUGUUGUUGUUGGCUCCACCCUUCUAUUAUCUGUACAAUCUCUUUAUUCAAAGGCUUACUUGGUGAAUCCCUAAACCCAAUAGUACUGUAAAAUGUCUUACUUAACCCUGCUAAACAAUUCUUGGUAAAGAAUUCCUUACUUUAAAGUUGGCUUUUUAGGGCCCGUAUCAACCCCGAACAUAACAAUCCCAUUACCACAAUCCCCUACACUCUUUACCAAUAGCAGCUACGAUCAAAAACCAAAGGUGCACAGCCAAAGUAUAUUAGAUCAAAUCAAAACAGUACACAUAGAUGGUAGCUGAGGUAGCAUUACAUUAACAAUGUACAUAAUAAGCCUCUCUUUAUUCUGGUUUUCUCCUUCCAAAAUUUUAUUCUUUUGGAAGUUCUGAUUGUUUCUCUAACAAAGGUGGAGGAAUUUGGUUGACCAGUAGUUUUUGUACAACCAAUAAAGAUUUUAGAUUGUGAUACUCAGUAACCCAUCUGUUGUCCAUCAAGUUUGUUCUUUUUUUUCUUCAUAUUACAUUUUUAAAUAUUAUAUAAAACCCAUUUCAUUGAAACAGGUAGAGUAAAAACUCUACCAGAGUAACAGACACCACUUGGAUAUCCUAACACCAUUAACCCUCUGGGUUUUACCUAUUAUAUCCAAGAAAAAAGUGUCAUGUACCCACCAGAAAAUUUCCUAUUUGAUGGAAGAGGGUUGCUCAAUUGCUCAUUAGAUUUCAUACCUAUUUGGAUACCAUCUUGAUAUGUAUAACUAUUUGAUGGAAGAGGGUUGCUAGCUUGCUGUGAGAUUGCUUUUUUCCCAAUCUUUACCUUAUGGUGGACAUGUACAUGGAUCAUCGGCUCAUUGAAAACUGUUUUCUUAUUUAUUUUUUUAUCUUCCAUCCACCCACUUCAUUAUGGCUCUUUUUUUAUGCUUACUUCAAACUGUUUGCCACUAUUACAUCCAUGGUUUCAUUCUUAAUUUCCAUUUAUUCUUUAUUUUUGUGAUUGUUGUGUUUUAAUUGUUGCCAAUAUCUAUUAUUAUAUAGUAAAUAAAAGGAUAAUGAAGUGUAAGGUACUAUAUAUAUGCAUUGGUUUCAUUCUCCAGCUCUCUGUCUCCCUGUACCUCAAAGUAAUCUUUAACAUCAUUCUUUUGCUUAAAAAAAAAAGUAAGUUAAUUUUUAACCUCCUACAUUAUUUAAGGAUUGCAUGUUUAGAUGUGAACAUAAUGCAUUGGAUAUAUCUGCACAUCCUUCUUUUUUCUUUUUCUUUUUUAAACACAACUUUUAUUUAUAUCAUUGAUAGAAGUUAUAUUGAUGCAAGUAUGAUCUUGUAUGUUCAUCAAGUUUGUUAUUGUAUAAGCACAAUUUAUGUGAAUGCAACUAAUGUACAUAUUUGGAAUGUUUGCUAAAUUACUUAUGCAUCUUCAGCGAUAUGAGAUCUCUAAGAACCCCACCCCCAAAAGCAGUACUAUUAUAUGGAAUGAGGCUAAGGUUAGAGCAUUCAUCAACCAUAUGGUUGAGAAUGUCCGGAAAGGUCAAAAGACCAAUUCCACCUUCACAAAGGUGGGAUGGGAUAAUAUUAGGAAAGGGUUAGAACAAGAAUUUAGUCGCCCGUUUGCGAGGGAGCAGCUGUGUAACAAAAUGAACAAGUGACGAAGAUGGUACAACAGCUUCAGGCGUUUGCUAGAAACGACGGGAUUCGGAUGGGAUGCAAAUUCAAGGACUACGACAGCGGAAGACUCUAUGUGGGAAUCUCUAAUUAAGGAAAACAAAGAAUGGGCAAAAUACAGGAGACAUGGUCUACCAUGGUGGCCAGAGUUGUUAGAGAUAUUCUCCGACUCCAAUGCCUAUGGGGAUAGAGAGUUAUCACAUAUUACAGCAAUUACUCCUAUGUCCACUAAUGUUGUUGUUAAUGAUGAAUUUCAGGACACUGAACCGGAUGUAAGUGAAGGUUGUAGUGGCGAACCCGACAAUUCAGCUCCUCCUCGGUGGCACAUUGACAGGACUCCAACGGAUCGUAGGAGGAAGAGUCAGACACGCACACUCACGAACUCUACACAGGACUUCAAGAAGUUUGUGAGAUGAAGGAUGGAGAAGGGAAAUUCCUCUACCACUUCAGCCAUUGUCCGACCUCCAGAUCCAAUGUAUGACAGGCCACAUAGUAUUAUGAGUUGUCAGAAGCUCCUUAACACUUUAGAAGAGCUUACAUCGGAUUUGUAUGUGUUGGCUCAGCGUAAGAUACAUAAUGAUGCUAGUUCGUGCU